AUUGAACGCUGGCGGCAGGCCUAACACAUGCAAGUCGAACGAGUGGCGGACGGGUGAGUAAUGUCUGGGAAACUGCCUGAUGGAGGGGGAUAACUACUGGAAACGGUAGCUAAUACCGCAUACCAUCGGAUGUGCCCAGAUGGGAUUAGCUAGUGGGUGGGGUAAAGGCUCACCAAGGCGACGAUCCCUAGCUGGUCUGAGAGGAUGACCAGCCAAACUGGAACUGAGACCCGGUCCAGACUCCUACGGGAGGCAGCAUUGGGGAAUAUUGCACAAGGUGCGCAAGCCUGAUGCAGCCAUGCCGGGUGUGUGAAAAAGGCCUUCGGGUUGUAAAGCACUUUCAGCGGGGAGGCGUUACCCGCAGAAGAAGCACCGGCUAACUCCGUGCCAGCAGCCGCGGUAAUUC
rnacentral:rRNA from 1 species